GAUGAACGCUAGCGGCAGGCCUAACACAUGCAAGUCGAGGGGCAGCAUAAAACAAGCUUGCUUGUUUGGUGGCGACCGGCGCACGGGUGCGUAACGCGUAUGCAAUCUGCCUUGUACUGAGGGAUAGCCCAGAGAAAUUUGGAUUAAUACCUCAUAGCAUUAUGAUGUGGCAUCACAUUAUAAUUAAAGUUCCAACGGUACAAGAUGAGCAUGCGUCCCAUUAGUUAGUUGGUAAGGUAACGGCUUACCAAGACGAUGAUGGGUAGGGGUCCUGAGAGGGAGAUCCCCCAAACUGGUACUGAGACACGGACCAGACUCCUACGGGAGGCAGCAGUGAGGAAUAUUGGUCAAUGGGCGCAAGCCUGAACCAGCCAUGCCGCGUGCAGGAUGACGCAUCUAUGGUGUGUAAACUGCUUUUGUACAGGAAGAAACACUCCCUCGUGAGGGAGCUUGACGGUACUGUAAGAAUAAGGAUCGGCUAACUCCGUGCCAGCCGCCGCAGUAAAAC
rnacentral:rRNA from 1 species